rnacentral:lncRNA from 1 species
CGGAAAUCAGACUGCCCCCUUCGCCAGCAGAGGGCACUCUCGUCCCAUCAGGCGACAUACCCACCUCCAUCGCAGGCAUCCCGGACAGCAUCUUCCAGCGGAUCCGUGCCCAAUGCGCCCCUCCAGUCCUGUUCCUGUUUGCACACUAUCUGAACUCCGCUGAGGCAGCGACCGACCCGGUUACCAAGGAGCAUUGCUUCCGUGAAGCCGCCAUGCUCAUCCCUCGGAAGCCUGCGCUGCGCGAGGCCCUGGGUUUCAUUGAACCCCCGUCAGAGCCUGCACCCGUUCCCGCAUCAGAGCCUGCACCCGUUCCCGCGUCUAAGCCUGCACCCCUGGCCCCAGCGUCUAAGCCUGCACCCCUGGCCCCAGCGUCUAAGCCUGCACCCCUGGCCCCAGCGUCUAAGCCUGCACCCCUGGCCCCAGCGUCUAAGCCUGCACCACUGGCCCCAGCGUCUAAGCCUGCACCACUGGCCCCAGCGUCUCUGGCUGCAUCACUGGCCCCAGCGUCUCUGGCUGCAUCACUGGCCCCAGCGUCUCUGGCUGUAUCACUGGCCCCAGCGUCUCUGGCUGCAGCGUCUCCUGCCCAAGCCUCAGCUCAGCCAUGCCAAGCUCAAGCUCCAGCUCAAGCCUCAGCUCAGCCUGCCGUUCCUGUUCCUGUCGGCCAUAUUGAGGCCGUUCCUGUUCCUGUCGGCCAUAUUGAGGCCGUUCUAGUUCCUGUCGGCUCCUCGGAGGAGGACGCCGUUGUAGUUCCUGUCGGCUCCUCGGAGGAGGACGCCGUUCUAGUUCCUGUCGGCUCCUCGGAGGAGGACGCCGUUCUAGUUCCUGUCGGCUCCUCGGAGGAGGACGCCGUUCUAGUUCCUGUCGGCUCCUCAGGGGAGGACGCCGUUCUAGUUCCUGUCGGCUCCUCUGAGGAGGACGCCGUUCUAGUUCCUGUCGGCUCCUCUGAGGAGGACGCCGUUCUAGUUCCUGCCACUGUCGGCCCCUCGGGGGCCGCAGCCCCCGACGAUC